rnacentral:rRNA from 1 species
AAAGGGAGUAAUCCCAAGUAAAGUGGCGUACGGGUGAGUAACGCGUAGGUAAUCUACCUCAAAGUCUGGAAUAACCUAUCGAAAGGCAGGCUAAUACUAGAUAGAGCGACGGAAUCCGUAAUUGGGUUUUUCGGGAAAGGGAGGAAGAAAUUCCCCUUGCUUUGGGAUGAGCCUGCGUCUCAUUAGCUAGUUGGUGGGGUAAAAGCCUACCAAGGCGAUGAUGAGUAGCUGGUCUGAGAGGAUGAUCAGCCACACUGGAACUGAAACACGGUCCAGACUCCUGCGGGAGGCAGCAGUGGGGAAUCUUGCGCAAUGGACGAAAGUCUGACGCAGCCACGCCGCGUGAGUGAAGAAGGCCUUCGGGUUGUAAAGCUCUGUCGAGCGGGACGAAAAGCCAAGAGGUGAAUAGCCUCUAGGUCUGACGGUACCGCUAAAGGAAGCACCGGCUAACUCCGUGCCAGCAGCCGCGGUAAUACGGAGGGUGCAAGCGUUGCUCGGAAUUAUUGGGCGUAAAGGGUAGGUAGGUGGUCUCAUUUGUCUGGGGUGAAAGCCUUGAGCUUAACUCAAGAAGUGCCCCAGAAACGGUGAGACUAGAGUCCUGGAGAGGGUCGUGGAAUUCCCGGUGUAGCGGUGAAAUGCGUAGAGAUCGGGAGGAACACCAGAAGCGAAGGCGACGACCUGGACAGGAACUGACACUCAACUACGAAAGCGUGGGGAGCAAACAGGAUUAGAUACCCUGGUAGUCCACGCCGUAAACGAUGGGUACUAGGUUUGGAGGGUCUUGACCCCCGCCGA